rnacentral:rRNA from 1 species
GUGAGGAAUAUUGGUCAAUGGACGAGAGUCUGAACCAGCCAAGUCGCGUGAAGGAAGACGGUUCUAUGAAUUGUAAACUUCUUUUGUGCAGGAAUAAAGUGGGUUACGUGUAACCUUUUGUAUGUACUGUACGAAUAAGGAUCGGCUAACUCCGUGCCAGCAGCCGCGGUAAUACGGAGGAUCCGAGCGUUAUCCGGAUUUAUUGGGUUUAAAGGGUGCGUAGGUGGAUUGAUAAGUCAGCGGUGAAAGUUUGUAGCUUAACUGUAAAAUUGCCGUUGAAACUGUCGGUCUUGAGUGCAAAUGAGGUAGGCGGAAUGUGUUGUGUAGCGGUGAAAUGCUUAGAUAUAACACAGAACUCCGAUUGCGAAGGCAGCUUACUGGGAUGCAACUGACACUGAUGCACGAAAGCGUGGGUAUCAAACAGGAUUAGAAACCCGGGUAGUCC